UCUUACCAAAAAAAGUCAUAUAAGCCGAUAACAAUUGGCGGACUUUAAAGCGGUAAGAGUCAGGUUAAAAUCGUAAGCAGGCGAAACGAAAGCCGAUUUGUCACCGCAACGCCUCAAGCCGAAAGUAAACCUAGGUCAUGCCCUAAACCCAGCCACGCUGGACUCAUAAGCCUCAAAGGCAUAAGUAUCAGUAUUCUGAUACGAGAUCUUAAAAUUUGUCUCUCCGUUCGAACCCAUAAUGUCUGCAAAUCGGGCGAAUCUCUAAGCUCAAAAUACGCAAAUUCUCAUCUUAGGCGACAAUGGAUAGAACGAAACCAGAGAGGAAGGAAAGAGACGACAACUCGCAUCCCUUCAACCUCUAAACUUCGAAAAAACAAAACCCAACUCAGCUCAUAAAAAGUGCUAUUUUAUUUGAGCAAAGUAGUUUUUAACAAAAGCCCAAAGAUGGGCAGAGAUUCAAAGCCACAAACGGCCAGUCCCAAAACACAAAACACGGCCACCAACGGUCGGACCACAAACAAAAGCAUCUUUAAACAAAAAACAAAUCCUGUAAACAU
rnacentral:lncRNA from 1 species